AGCUUUAUUUGAUUUUAUUACCCAAAAACAAAAUCUUUCAUCUUGUUCAAGUUUUUGUCUGAAUUUGAUUCUCUUUUGUGUCUUGUCUGAACGUAACACAUUGCUGGUGAUUUGAUAAGUAAGACGAUUCUCUUUGUUUGUUAUCUAUGGAUAAUGAUGGAUUGAAUUGUGAAGUCUCAUAGUAAAAGAGUAAGCCUUUAUGCUCUCUCUUCAUGUUUGCUGAGUGUAUAUUCCAAGUGAGAAAUGAAAGGAAGAAUGAUGAUGGUUGGUGUUUGUAAUACUGAUCUGGUCCGUUUUGUAAACGAUUAUCUUGGCACAUUUCACAUCUUUUAUAGCGGGUUUACUGGAGUUUUCGAGUAUAUGGAAAGACUGUCCUGGCUGAGUUAGCUAUGAAGAAAAUUAACAACUUUGGACAUGGAGUAUGAUUCCUCUCUUGUCCAUGUUGUUUUGAAAUGGUGGUUCCAUGGUUUAGGCUUAUUAUGUUAUAAUAUGAUCAAACAUAAGAGGCAAUGAAUAGCAGCUUAUGUCCCAGUUGUUUGCCCUUACUGAUAGGAAAAAAACUCCAUCUUUGCUGCAACUGUUAUUUUAUUUUUAUUUUGCAAAGUUUCUUGGUGCAAAAUGUUUGCUUUACCAUUGAUUCUUGAUUUAACAAAGCGUUGAGAUUCCACUUUGA